rnacentral:rRNA from 1 species
AGGGCACGUCUGCCUGGGUGUCAC